rnacentral:pre_miRNA from 1 species
GGAUGAAAACGAGAAGGGACGGACAACACAAACUUCCAACUGGCAAAAUGGUUGUUGCCAGUUGCAAGUUUGUGUUUGUCCGUCCCUUCUCGUUUUCUUCC